rnacentral:lncRNA from 1 species
UUUUUUUUUUGGAAAUAAUGGCCUAUUGUGACAAGAGUAUAUUUUGCAGGAAUAUCGGCACAGAGAAAGCUAAAGACUGCCUCUUCAUCCGAGGGGCCUGGGGAACAGAGCACACAGCAGAUGGCCGUGAGGACUGUUUAAGACCUCAGAUGUGGAUGGGGCAAAGACAAAGACAGACCUCAAAUCUUCCCAUUCUGACCUUCAGCAGGUGAGCUCUGAGUCUUUUAACACGAACUUGUAAGUCAACUACACACUCCAAUAAAAUUUUUUAAAAAGUCAAUCAAGGAGUUCCCGUUAUGACUCAGUGGUUAACGAAUCCAAUUAGGAACCAUGAGCCAUGACGGAAGCUCCUCCAUUUUUUGUUUGUUUGUUUUUUUGAAGUUCAUUGUCUUGGUUGUAGGGCAAAGGUAAAAGAAAUUCUUUGACAUCCCCUGUAUAUUUUCACUGUGUUUCUAUUCUCUUCCCCAGCACAGCUGGCAACAUCCAGGUGGACCCCAUUUCCUCCAGCAGAAACGGGGAUCAGCUGCCAUGUUCUUCCCUCCCCCUUCCUGGUAGGAGCCAGUUCUGAGAGGUGAGAGUUCUUGGCUGGCCAGUCAGGUGACCCUUCUCCACAAUCCCCCCGAAUGAGGAGCCUGGGCCUCGUGCUCUACUAGAGGAGGCAGUGGGACCACUGACUUCCAGGCCACUCAGGAGGAGCAAGCCGGCCACUUGAAAACAUGCUUUUACUGUAGGCUGCCAGCUGAGGCCCAGACUGAGUUAUGCGUCCUCUGUGUUGAACAACUACUACUUAUCAGGUAAGUCAUAAAGGAUCAUUCAUAAAAUUAGAUUCGCCACUUGUUUUUAUAGCACUCAUUAAGGAACAUAAAAGACAAUUCUUUUCAGCAUUUGGGUGCUGAAUUAUAAAUUCAAUUAACUGGACACAGUGAAGUUCACAGAUCCAGAUAUCCUUAUAUCAAAGCGGCAACUCCCAACCAUGAAGCAGAGAGAAAAAGGACACGCGCGUCCCCCUGGCGUCCCAGGUCCCCUGUGUCAGCUGAGCAAUCUCUCCGCAGCUUUCCUCACUCACUUCUGCUCAUUUCCCCCCUUGCUCGUGACUUUUUCUCAGCCUUGGGAAAGGAAAUGGAUUUUGACAGCACAGGGAGAAGGGAAGACUCUGAAUUCUCAGACAAGGUACAGAGCCUUUGUUCUGCCCCAGGUACUCUGGAGAUAAAAACAGCCUUGGGGUGUUGCAAGGGUUAAAGUGCAGCAUGACUGAAACACCUAGCAGAGUACCUGGCAUGUGGGCAGCAUGCAAUGACAGGGAGACGGUUAUUAGUCACAUCAGUUCCUAAAACAAAUUUAUUUUAAGCCCACCUUCCCCACUACAUCAUUCCUAGUAAUGGAACCGGCAUUUAUCCAAGAGGUAAGGUGUACCGGCCCUGCAUUGGUCUGGGGAUGGGAGAUGGAAAGGCCCAAUGCCCGUAGGAAUCCACAGACGAUGCGGGGAUGUCCUUGUUAACACAUUCCUCCUCUAAAUUCCUCUCCAUGCACCACCCAGGCUGGCAUCUGAUUACACAGUGACCUUUUGCUGGUCCCUGGUUGAUUUAUAUGCGUCUAUAUAUAUCUAUAGGAUCUCCCAGUAAAUUUAUGUUCGGAUAGUGGGAAAAAAACAGUAUCACAAGCAUUA